AAAGCUCAAAUUUUGAAUCUGACAUCUUUGGUGUCCGAGUUGUAAUCUAGAGAAGUGUUUUCCGUGCCGGACCGUACAAAAGUCUCCUGGAACGGGGCGUCAUAGAGGGUGAGAAUCCCGUAUAUGGUAUGGACUCCCGGUGCUCUGUGAUACACUCUCAACGAGUCGAGUUGUUUGGGAAUGCAGCUCAAAAUGGGUGGUAAAUUCCAUCUAAAGCUAAAUAUUGGCGAGAGACCGAUAGCGAA
rnacentral:rRNA from 1 species